CCCGGAGCCGCCUUCCCGUAGCCGGAGCCCGGCCAAGGCGGGCAGGUGGGGCUGAGGCGGGCUGAUGUGGCUGCGGCGGGCAGACAGGGUCAAUGCUAUGAUGUUCAGGCUGGCCUUGAACUUCCUAUGUAGUCCAGGCUGGCUUGGUGCUCUGGGUGAUCCUCAUGCCUCAGCCUCCUGAGUUCUGGGAUUACAGCCUUGUCCCACUACAUCCGGCCAGAAGGAUCAAACUCGGGUCCUUGUGCUUGCGCAGCAGGCAGCGAAACCACUGAGCUAAAUCCCCGGCCCUAAGCGCAUUCCCCUACAGCACCGCAUCUGACUGGCUAAGCUGGACACCUACUGAGUCCUGUUGCCAUCUCUCCUUUGACUCACAGGCUACUGGUCACCGGGUCAGGUGGAUUCUGCUUGGAAAUACACAUACUGGACCCAUCCCUGCCCUCCAUCCCCAUCAACACCAGGUCCUAGAAGUCACUCUGCUGGGCUGCAGCCUCCUGGGUGCUCUGUCUCUAGCGCAACUUGUAAACACACACACAACAUGAACGAGUCACACAGUGGACCCUCAUCAGGCCACAAGAUGACCGACAGAAGCU
rnacentral:lncRNA from 1 species